UACGUAGGGUGCAAGCGUUGUCCGGAAUUAUUGGGCGUAAAGAGCUCGUAGGCGGUUUGUUGCGUCGGCUGUGAAAUCCCGAGGCUCAACCUCGGGUCUGCAGUCGAUACGAGCAAACUAGAGUGUUGCAGGGGAGACUGGAAUUCCUGGUGUAGCGGUGAAAUGCGCAGAUAUCAGGAGGAACACCGGUGGUGUAAACGGCUUUCUGGACCGUAACUGAACGCUGGAGGCACGAAAGCCGUGGGUAGCAAACAGGA
rnacentral:rRNA from 1 species